rnacentral:rRNA from 1 species
UACGUAGGGGGCGAGCGUUGUCCGGAAUUAUUGGGCGUAAAGAGCUCGUAGGCGGUUCGGCAAGUCACGUGUGAAAUCUCCACGCUCAACGUGGAGGCGCCACGUGAGACUGCUGUGACUCGAGUCCGGUAGGGGAGCGUGGAAUUCCCGGUGUAGCGGUGAAAUGCGCAGAGAUCGGGAGGAACACCCGUAGCGAAGGCGGCGCUCUGGGCCGGUACUGACGCUGAGGAGCGAAAGCGUGGGGAGCGAACGGG